CGAAAGCCUGACGGAGCAAUACCGCGUGAGGGAGGAAGGCUCUUGGGUUGUAAACCUCUUUUUUCAGGGAAGAACACAAUGACGGUACCUGAAGAAUCAGCAUCGGCUAACUCCGUGCCAGCAGCCGCGGUAAUACGGAGGAUGCAAGCGUUAUCCGGAAUUAUUGGGCGUAAAGCGUCCGCAGGUGGCCUUUCAAGUCUGUUGUCAAAGACAGUAGCUUAACUACUGGCAGGCGAUGGAAACUGUAAGGCUAGAGACCGGUAGGGGUAGAGGGAAUUCCCAGUGUAGCGGUGAAAUGCGUAGAUAUUGGGAAGAACACCAGUGGCGAAAGCGCUCUACUGGACCGGAACUGACACUCAGGGACGAAAGC
rnacentral:rRNA from 1 species